GACGAACGCUGGCGGCGUGCUUAACACAUGCAAGUCGAACGGAAAGGCCCUGCUUUUGUGGGGUGCUCGAGUGGCGAACGGGUGAGUAACACGUGAGUAACCUGCCCUUGACUUUGGGAUAACUUCAGGAAACUGGGGCUAAUACCGGAUAGGAGCUCCUGCUGCAUGGUGGGGGUUGGAAAGUUUCGGCGGUUGGGGAUGGACUCGCGGCUUAUCAGCUUGUUGGUGGGGUAGUGGCUUACCAAGGCUUUGACGGGUAGCCGGCCUGAGAGGGUGACCGGCCAGCGGGGGAGAAGAUUGCGGCCGGGGCUCCUGCGGGAGGCAGCAGUGGGGCAUGGUGGAAGAUGGGCGGAAGCGUGAUGCAGCAACGCCGCGUGGGGGAUGGGGGCCUUCGGGUUGUAGACCGCUUUCGCCGGUGACGAAGCGUGCGUGCCGGUGAUGGAUAAGGAAGCACCGACUCACUACGUG
rnacentral:rRNA from 1 species